CGUAAUCCAGAACGGAGGAGCCACUGACCCCUUUGGUUUGGCCUUUACCCUGCACACCCCUUCCGGUCCCCUUUCUUCACACCAGCCAUUGUCAGCACAUCACUGGAGAACGUGGGGCAGGAGGAGUUGCGGGGAAACUGAGUUCUGCCUUGGGACCCCUUUGCUUUUCCACGCAGCCUCUAGGAGGGGGGAAAGAAAGACCUGACCUUUCAUGUGAGGACUCUAACCACCUCGCCCCCUCCGCCUCAGGUGUUAUUAACUCUCCUCUUUGAGUGGCGGGGAGGUGAAGGUCCAACAAGAUCAUCUGUGGACCCAGGGCUUGGAAUGAGCCCGCUUAGAACCUCACUUUUGCUCCCUGCGAAUGGUUCUGUGGCUGACAAAGGCCCCCAAACUGGAGUCUUGGCAGAGUGAUUAGGACCGAGAUCCCGACCCAGCGGUUCUGAGGAGUGGUCCGGCCCCUCACUAAGGCCAAAUGGAUUGGAAAGGCAAACAGAGUUGGAGAAACUAGGAAAAGUUUGCCAACCCCUGGAGUAAGAGGAUGAUGAAACCACAAGAUGGAAGGAUCCUGAGUCCCUGAUUAAUUCACUGGAGCAGAACUCAUCGUUCCCUCACCCCACCCUGUGACAGAAGGAGAUGGUCCAUAAAGAUGCAUCACUUUCUCUAAGCAUUUAUUGUCAAAUACUAUUGCAAAGAAGAAAAAGUCAGCAGCCAUUUCACUGGGGCCUUGCCUGGAGCCAGGAACUGGAGCCAAUGGACUGUCCUGAAGCUUUGAAAUUCCACAGAAGUCAAAACUGAGAGUUUGCAUUCCUCACAGACAAGCAAAACUUUCCACAGAAAUAUCAUCACCAUGCAGCAGCAGAAGCCUGCCUUGUGUCAGCCUCCACCCCAGAACUGCAGGUUAUCUUGGUUAGCAGUACCAACUGGAAAGGUAUUAGGUAAGACAAAUCUCAGUGUAAAAGUGGCAGUAGAAACUGGGUCACUUUGGAUAUUCUGUCCUUACAGGUGGACAAGGGUAAUAGGAAGCUGCAGUUUCCAAGAAGAUGAGAGUUGUCUGGAAGGAAUUCUACUGUUGUACUUUAACCCAACCCACCAGAGUCACUCAGCAGCAAAAUUGGCUUGACAGUGAGGCAAUUUGUGGGCAAGGCCUGUGAGAAAGCCCUUGAUUACUUCCUGUUUGUCAAGUCAUUGCAAAGCUUGCCCAGCAGGCUUUGCCAUCAGUGACACCAGCUGAGGUGACUGAGGUGACAGAAAUGCCAGUGAUGAAAAUGAGGUUUCCAGGCAAAUCAUUUGAUUUGCAGAAAUAGUUGUGGUUUAGUCA